UCGGAAAACCUCUAGAACUGCUUUGACGCCAACAAAACAUGAGCUUUCUCCACCUACUAACUUAACGUACCAACCGGAAUCGCAGAAGAGCAGGAGUGAAAUCCAUUUUGAAUCCCGAAGUUCUGUUUUCUGUGAUGAAGUAAAAAGCAACCAAGCAACUUUUAGUGAUAAGUUACCUUUGAAUACACCAUCAAGGGAUAAUUCCGACUACCAAUCGUCCACUAUUCCUCACCGGAUUGAUGCAGAAAUGUGUUCACCUUUUAGUUCAUUAGAUGAAAAUGUACCUCCCGCCAGUUCAGGAUGGAGUAUAUUUGAUAACCAACUUGAGGAAAGUAAAAAACUGACCUCGAGGAGCACCAAAAGGCUGUCAAAUGACUUUCCAGUUUUAAACCAAUCCUCAAUAUGCAAUCGUGAAAACAAUGCUUUUUCAGAAAGCAGUAAAAUGAAUGUUCCUAUUACUUUAAACGCUUAUUCUAGUGGUAAAGAUACUUCUUUUGCUCAUAAUUUUUUAAAUGCUCAAACAAAUUCUUCAGCUGUACAGUCAGAUGUUUUUCAUAAUGCUCAAUUAUUCGAUUCUAGUUUAAUGAAAAGGAGCAAUAAACCCAGUAAACUGAUGCAAGAAAUCCACUUCAAUAGUGCUCCCUCUUCGCCUGUGAAGCACCCAUCCUCAAUUCUGAAAAGAAAUCAAUUGAUGAAACAGCUCUUCCCACCUUGAAUUUUCACAGCUCACCAGCCUCAAUUCUAAAACGGAAAGUAUCGCAUGAUGAAAGUUCCUCCUCUGCAUCCCUCUCCGUCGCCAGUGCUUGUAUGCCAUCCUCAAGCUCUGCCAUUUUGGAACUCACGCGUAGGCAAGGAAUCCUCAAAAAGAAUUGUAGUUUUGAUGAGGCAGAAUUACUCAAAAGACGGAGCUGUUCUCCGGAAUUAGUAAUAAGCGCACCAUUCACCGAAUUCAAGUCAAUUUUAAAGAACCAACACCGUUCCUCUUUAGAAAAUUUAUCAGUAGACGACACAAUACCAGAGCCUGAGUUGCAUCCUAUAUUAAAGAAAUCUGCCAGGCAAGAAUCAACUGAAAGCACAAUGUCGCCUGAACCUCAUAGUAUUUUAAAACGGAAGACAUCUGUUCAUAACGUAUCGCCAUCUCAUGUUGCUCUGCUGGAUAGUGCAGAAAAUAGUGACUUCAGUGCUAGUGAGAGUGUCAAACCCAUCUUGAAGAAAAAAUCUAGUUCUGAAGAGAAUGAAUCAACUGCAAGCACUGGUUUAUUAUCAUAUGAAAUUCUGAAGCCAAUUUUGAAAAAGAAAUCUAUCACUGAUAUUGAACCUGAAGAUGAGAAUAGACCAGUCAAACCAAUUCUGAAGUCCAUUCGUAAAUCUCCAGAAUUUGAUGAAAAAGUUUUGCAGAAGAGGUUAUCGUUAGAGGUAGAUGUUAAACCAAUUUUAAAACCCUCAAGAGUUGGAAGUCUUGACAAUGAAGACAGUAGUAGUGAUGAUGGAGUCGUGGAAGAGAAAAAUGUUGCAAAUUUUUUGAGGUCAAUUAGUAAAAUGUCUUUGAAAAAGCACAAUAAUCGAACCCCUACGCAAACCAGGCAUUCUCUCGACUUAUCUUACAUCAUGAGCCAACGCACAAGAGACUCAACUUCUCCAGAAAAUUCUGAACCAGUAAGGCCACUGUCUGUAGCAGAACGGAUCAUAAAUUUAGAAAAUUUUAUCGCCCAGGAGACAUCAUCUAGUGAAAAUUUAUCACCUUGCAGCCCCAGAACCUCAAUUUCCAAGCCAGCAAGAAUACGUAAAAGAUUCUCAACUCAACCCAUCACUUAUCAAGAGCUGAGCUCUACGCGUAGAUCAAAUGAUUCAACCGAGAAUCUGGACUUCAAACCCAAUAAUAACUGUGAGAGCUGUGAACAGUUGCAGAGUGAAGUAAUUACUGCAGACAAUUUUUCUGAGGUUAAUUCCCAUUACGAAUCUGUGAACUCCAUUUUAUCAGCAAUAGAAUCUCCGAAUCAUCUGAAUAAGGAAUCUGAGUCCGACUCGGGGAAAGUAUCAUCUGAUGACUUUGAAGGGAAAACGGUGAGCCGCAGUAAUAGUGUUUCAUCGAAGGCAUCAUUUUUCAAUGAUAUUUUUACCAAAGUUGAACGAGAAUUGGAAGAGCUUCAGGUUCCAAGGAAAGCUUUCGGUGCUGUAAGGUCUCACAAACGCUACGCAAGAAAUUCUGGAGACCGCCAUAUCACACAACCAGUAACAGUUGAUGAACUUGAGAAAGCAAAGCGACUAAAUUGUGAAAAGAGCAAAUAUUUCAGCCGAGCUAGAAGUGACUCGUCUAAUACUGUUGUUAAACCCAAGCCAGAAUUUGCCGUUUAUCAGUCAGAAGAAGGAUUUUAUGAUGCUGGCAAUGAUGACGACGAUGAUGAUGAUGAUGAUCCGAAUGAUCCGUCCAAGCUCAGUCUCGCAGAGAGAGUUAAGUUGUUCAGUGAAAAAAUGAUCCAUGCUCGAUUACCUCCCACUUCCGAUCCUCCCAGAAGCAAGCGAUCCAAUCGUUUUAAAACUCAACCUGUUACAUCAUUCGAAGUUGUCAGCGCUCAAAAGAGUAUUCCAAUCAUGAAUCAAGAGUCUUCAGCUGUUUUAGUUGCUGGUUUGAUGAAAAAUUUGAAGAAUAAGCUGGGCACAGAACCAAUUACUGUGAAAGACAACGUGGAUACCAGUGGAAAAGCGCCCUCCCCCAUUCUAAAACAAAAUAGUUUUAAAUACUCAAAAAGAUCAGCAUUUGCUGACACAAGAAAACCCCCCACUGAACAUAUAUCAAAUGCCAAAACUGAUACACCGAUGGUGAAUUCGGAAGAUGCUAAAGCAAUCAAAACGAGCACAUCCAAUACCUCGGUUUCAAAAGGGAAGAUUGGACUCAAACCAGAAAUCAAGUCAAUUCCAAAAGAGGACAGUAGUCAACUCGUUCGAAAAAUAGCAAUUGAAGCUAGAAAUAAACUGAACAGACGAUUAAUUGAUGACCUGACAACGGAUACUACAACCUCUGAUGGGGAUACAUCUUCUUCAGGCGGCAGAGAAAUUCAAAGCAUCCUUAAAGGUCAAGCCAGCGUGAAACAACCCUCACCUGCUGUUUCCAAGAGCUCCUCCGAAAGGAAGAAAAGUGGGCCGUUGAAGGAUCCGUUGGGGAAGACAAAAAGGAGCUUAAGUUCUACCGGGAGGAGGAAAUCCGGAUCGCGGGGGAGUGGAGAUGAUUGCGCGAGCGCGGUAGAGGGGGUUCGUGUUCCCGGGAAAGGGACGGGGGCGUGCGGAAAGGCGGCCAUGAUCAAGAAUGAGGCAACGCCGCCCUCGCUCAACGGCGGACUUCGCAAGUUCAGCACGCAGCCACCCUGCGCCAAAGACGAAGUCGACCAGAGCACCACCAAUGGCGGAAGCAUCGCUCAAAGGCUGGCAGCCCUUCAGAAGAGCGGGAGCUCCGACUGGCGCAAACGGAUCUCGCGCCUUAGUCCCGACGAGGAAAUCACCAACAGCCCCCUAAAAUAAACGUAAGUUAAUUCAAUUUGUUGUAGUAUUUAUAUUUCCAUACUUUUCACGAGUGUAGAGUGUAAAGUUUGUAUUUGCCGAACCACGCAUCAACGCUUUGAUCAAUGGACAACGAGACGGGUAGGGGUAAAAAUUAAACGGGGUGUCCGCUCCGAUCCGGAAAACCGGGAAUAGUCAGAGAAUUUUUUUAGGUUAGGGAAAUAUGUCCGUAAAUUUUAUGAGAGAGGGAGCCUCAGUUUAGUUUGGGGCUUAGUGUUCCUAGUUAUACUCUGAAUAACACUGAGUGACACUGUGGAAUAAAUUUCAAUGAAGAUUACAAUCCUAGGUAAUUAAGUGAUUAAAACGUACUCAAAAAAAAAAUUCACGUAAUUCUGUUUUUUUGCAAUAUAAGUAAUGGUAACACUGUCAAUUUCCAUCUUUACAAAUGUAAGUUUGUUGUUUCCUGAGCGAUGGGACGAAACUUCAUUCCUAUGUAGCAAAACCGAACCGAAAAAUUUAAUUUUUAUAAAGAAUGUGACCCCGCAAUUGCUGUCCAAAAUUCGUCGGUUAGAUGGAAAAUCAGUGAAAUUUUCAGUUGGAAAUGCCAGUCUGUUUUCCGUUCAAAGUGCAAUUUGCGAGUGAAAAAUCUGCAGCGUUUUGCAGUUUCGUUUUUUCAUUAGGCAAACCAAAGGUUUUCGAUUUAAGAAGUUAGGGAAAUUUGAUCAUUUUGGUCGGGGGAAACCUGGAAAAGUCGAGGAAUCCCAACCGAGUUCGUGGACACCCUAUCACAUUCUCCCAACAGAUGAAGUGAAAAAUCGCGGGGGCCACACCGUGGAUGUUGCGCAGUACCAUAAAUUGUUGAGGACUGGAGCCGGCUCUUGUCCAGCCAUUGUGUGAGUGGACGUCCGUAAUUCUGUA
rnacentral:lncRNA from 1 species